GAAACUGCUACGUCAGAGUUCAGGCGGGUGAUUUGAAGUGCGCUAAAGCCGCGAUUUUCUUUCAAAAUAAGCAUUUCCUUGGCACAAAUCAAGCACUACGAGGGUUCUGAAACGCUAUUCCAACAAUCAACGUCGACUUAAUAUUUUCCUUUAGUGUCCCUUUAAAGCAUUAUAAGUAAGUAAAGCUGGCGUAAACUAUGUUGAAAUUUUUUUUAAUGUAACCAAUUAGGGUGUGUCGACUCUGCGCUAUAUAUCGCCAAGCCUCGACGUUAUAGAGUUUUGGUGCACUUCUGAAUGAUUCUUUAUGGCAUCCUAUUUGUAUUGGGACUUGUGUUAGAGGUUCCCAGCGAUAUUUUCUCUUACUUUUACCAUUUCUGUUUCACCACAUUGGAGUUAUCAGAGUUUUUUUUUUUAAAUGUAUGUAUUCUCUUUUGUAUACAGUAUUUCUUCUUUGAGAUGUUCUUGUAUUACUGCAUAUCCGACUUGGUAAAAACAAACAUUGCCAUUUUUACGAGGUAUGGUGUCUGGCCAAAAAGAAAAAAAAACGCUGGUGUAUUGACUUAUUAAGCGGCCACACAUUCUGUGCACAGACUGCACACAUUUCACCUUUUGUUUCGAUGACCCAGGCCUGAUUCCUUCUUUCGGCAGCUUUGCAUUGAGAACGUCAAACAAGUCGUUCAGCUCCUUAGUGAAAACUUCGGUGCCUUCGCUGUUUUCCAGUCCUGGGAGCCCCUGGUUCCUGUAAAAUUCCAAGCCUAUGGCUGUUCCACGGCUGAAAAGCUGAAAAUAAGGGUACAACGGUAAGACAAGUUAGCACUGUUGCACUAUGCGCGCCUCAUAAUCAUAUUGUGCUUUUGACACAACAAACGCAACAGUAAUAAUGUUAACUAAUAUUGUUGACAUUGCUUGCUUGUAUCAUUUCAAUUGUGCCUUCUCACCUGUGCAGCAAGGCGUACAUUCAUCUUGCGCAAGCAGUCUGGUUCAAUGUGUGCUUGCGUCAGCUUUGGCACAAUACGAAGCUGCUGGUUCUCCUCGGCUUUGUACAGCAACCGGUAGUGAUCGUAGGCAACUUCACAGUUUCCAGCCUAGAAAAACACAUGCAAAUGAAUUGCACGAUAUCCUGAAUUGCGCCCACAUGGCCUUGUUGCUCCCGGCACCAUCACUGACGACUGCUAUCACUACUGCAUUUUGCUUGAAAAGUUCGAGAACAGCCUCAAGCACAAGCCUGGCAAGGACAUCACCUGGUGCAGCUCCCUUGCUGGCGAAGCUGGCGAUUGGCUGUACCCAGUUACUGAAUAAAGGCACAUACAUGAACACAA